GAAAUGCGAUACUUGGUGUGAAUUGCAGAAUUCAGUGAAUCAUCGAAUCUUUGAACGCACAUUGCGCCCCUUGGUAUUCCAUGGGGCAUGCCUGUUCGAGCGUCAUCUACACCCUCAAGCUCUGCUUGGUGUUGGGCGUCUGUCCCGCCUUUGCGCGUGGACUCGCCCCAAAUUCAUUGGCAGCGGUCCUUGCCUCCUCUCGCGCAGCACAUUUGCGCUUCUCGAGGUGCGCAGGCCGCGUCCACGAAGCAACUAUUACCGUCUUUGACCUCGGAUCAGGUAGGGAUACCCGCUGAACUUAA
rnacentral:misc_RNA from 1 species